UACGUAGGGUGCAAGCGUUGUCCGGAAUCACUGGGCGUAAAGCGCACGUAGGCGGAUUGCUAAGUCAGGGGUGAAAUCCUGGAGCUCAACUCCAGAACUGCCUUUGAUACUGAGAAGCUUGAGUCCGGGAGAGGUGAGUGGAACUGCGAGUGUAGAGGUGAAAUUCGUAGAUAUUCGCAAGAACACCAGUGGCGAAGGCGGCUCACUGGCCCGGUACUGACGCUGAGGUGCGAAAGCGUGGGGAGCAAACGGG
rnacentral:rRNA from 1 species